rnacentral:rRNA from 1 species
GAUGAACGCUGGCGGCGUGCUUAACACAUGCAAGUCGAACGGUAAGGCCCUUCGGGGUACACGAGUGGCGAACGGGUGAGUAACACGUGGGUGAUCUGCCCAGCACUUCGGGAUAAGCCUGGGAAACUGGGUCAAAUACCGGAUAGGACCACUGCCUGCAUGGGUGGUGGUGGAAAGCUUUUGCGGUGUGGGAUGGGCCCGCGGCCUAUCAGCUUGUUGGUGGGGUGAUGGCCUACCAAGGCGACGACGGGUAGCCGGCCUGAGAGGGUGACCGGCCACACUGGGACUGAGAUACGGCCCAGACUCCUACGGGAGGCAGCAGUGGGGAAUAUUGCACAAUGGGCGCAAGCCUGAUGCAGCGACGCCGCGUGAGGGAUGACGGCCUUCGGGUUGUAAACCUCUUUCAGCACCGACGAAGCGCAAGUGACGGUAGGUGCAGAAGAAGGACCGGCCAACUACGUGCCAGCCGCCGCGGUAA